UAGCCUCACUGCUAGAUUCUGCAAGCUCUGCGAUUUCGGUCUCAUCAGUAACAUAAUCUUGAGCAAUUUCUGUCUGAUCGACCAUGCUAAAGUCUUUAUCGUGAGAACUCAGGCAGUCUGCUGCAGGAUGAACAAUACCAUACCCAAAGCCUUGCGCAGAGUUGCAGUAAGUCUCCGCUGUGCCAUCUUUCUUCUCUAGGUUUAUGUUACUCAGGACUAUGUUACUACAAGGAACUGUGUCACUACAGGCAAAUUUCAUGGCCUCUGCGCUCUUCGUUGUGCCAGUAACAUUCCGGUUUUUGGAGAAUCACAGUAGAAUUGAUCAAUAAUGAUAGGAUUUGCAACAUCAUCCAUCCUUACAUUUUCAAAACGUAUCCCACGAACAUAGCCAUUGCCUCCCUGCAGCAGAAUAACAAUAUCAAUUAAAUGAAAAUCGAAUGAGGACAGAAAGAGGUCCAAGUACCUGUUCCAAUUUUGCAGUCUUGAAGAACAACAUUAGUUGAGCCAGUAAUAUGAAUUCCAUCAGUGUUAGGACUGUCUUCAGGAGCCGAGACUAAUACUUGGGAUACUCGUACAGAUGCAGACCGGGAAAUCACAAAAUUCAUUUGUUGGCUAUUUUGGAUGGUAAGGCCUCUUACCUUCACAGAUGAGCUUGAAUCAAUAGUUAAUGCCUGCAAAAAUCUCAUCAGUUAAAUCUCAAAUGGUGCACAUUUAGAAGUUUUAGUCCUAGAUGCUUUGCAUGUAUGUUAUCAGAGAAGUGGUCAAAAAAUUCAAAGAAAAAGAUCCUUACUGUUGGUGCUCCUCUGCAAGGCUGUGAAGAAUAAAGAAAGAAAAACAUGAGUUAUUUCUUUUGUUGAUUUGAAGCACUUGAGCACGUAUAAGCAAAAGAGUAAUUUAGAUAAAUUACAUUUGAUUUGUUCUUUUUGCAA